rnacentral:lncRNA from 1 species
CAAGGAGAUCAGCACCUUUUUCCACCUUGUUUAAUAUUAAAAAGGUGGGGGGCAUUUGUUGAAGCAUAAAAAAAAGGAAGAAGAAGAAGAAAAAAAAAANAUGUAUUUGAUGAUUUAUGAUGCUAAUGUAUAGAACAGAAAUGGAAAGAAUGUAAUGUUUAUUUUGAGCAAGUGUGAUGUAAAAAGAAAUGAUGAAAAGACUAUAAAGAAUUAUGAAUGUAAAUGGAUACAUGUUUGUGAU